UUUGGGUAUCACAUGAUCAACGGUGUUUGCAGAAGAUAUUUUGGAGAAAUUCACCUAGUCAACAGCUGGAAGAAUAUACCUUGAACACGGUCACGUAUGGAACGAGGUCAGCUCCAUAUCUUGCAAUCAGGUGUUUGCGACAGUUAGGUAUGGAUGGUCAAAGGGAGUAUCCUAAGGCAGCGGAAGUAAUUUUAAGAGACUUUUAUGUUGAUGACGUUUUAACAGGAACAGAGACAACAGAGGAAUUAUUGGAAUUAUGUACCCAGAUGGUGUCAGUACUAAAAGUUGGAGGUAUGGAAUUACGGAAGUUAUAACAUUCCGUUAAUUUCUAAUUAUCUUUAUAGAUAUUUUAUUUAAAAUUUAAUAACGGUUUGUCAUUAAGUUAUACUCAAAAUCAAUAAGAUCUAAUUAAAAUAAAUCUUUGACUGACGUCAUACUUAACUAGUAGUUGGCACGAGUUCUUCAGUUGGUAUUAGACACCAUUCGCUGUCAUGUAAGUUUGUUCUGUGAGGCUCCUCGUCUAACGACGGGAAAUAAUUGACACUUCGCUUGGUUAGCUAGAACGGUACGGCAGAUGGUUGAUCGAAAAUUACGGGAAUUUUAAUACGGAGUUUCAAGCUCCUAUAAGUAUUUAGUGGAAAAAUUAAUAGUGUUGUUGUUUGGAAGAGCUAGGAGACAAAGUUUGGAAGAUCCCGUAGAAAUUGAAGUCACACCAUCUGCCGUUUGGGUGAAAUUAUAAAGUAACCAGUCCAUCAGCUCCCCUAACAACCGGGAGCAACCGUUCUAGGCCAAGCCAGGUCACUUGGAGACCAGCCUGAAGAAUCUCCUCCCACGUAGCGUUGAAUUCUGCACUUCGCCCCGAAGGGCACCUUUAAUAAUUGGUGCAAGCUAGCACCAUCCCUGUGCUAAUUCUACUACCAGGGAUUUUGGUAUCCAUAACAAGGACACUUUUGGGAACCAUAAUAUAGGGUUUGUUUUGGGGACACUUGGUAUUUGCAAGUUAUUAUUACUCUACCAUCACAACACGUUAAUAUUUUUGUGUAAUAAUCAGGACAUUUAGUUCAAACUAAGUUUUAUAGUUUAAUCACACAUAUUUUUGUUUAAAGAUUAGGUUGCAUUUUUUUCCAUAUUAUUAUAUCUAUAAUUUUUGAUAGUGUUUCCCAAACCAGUAAACUCUCUGGUCGAAAAGGUUUGAGCUCAGAUCAUCUUUUCCCUCAUAUGAGAUUCUCUUUACCUUUGUCUUAUAUUACCUGAAAUUUACUUGUACCAUUUAUUUAUUUAAUUAACUUUAUAUUUUUUUUGUUACUAACCUUGCUAGUCUCCACUUAUCAAUUUAAAUUUAUAUAUUUUUACUCUUUAUUGCUAAUUUAUUAACUUAUAUAACUUUAACGUACUUUAGCCAAUCAUUCUAAUUAAUUAAACUUAUUUGCUUAACUUUUUACUUAAAUUCAUUUAUUUAACUUUUAAUUAUAUCCCUGGACGCUAUUCCCUUUGAAUAGUUAUCCAUUUUACUUGUGAUAAAUUUUGAGUGACUACGCGUCGAAGCAACUGAUUUUUAUAUAUCAAGUAGACCGUAGAUUCACAUUAAGGAGGCUGGUGCCUAUUUAACUCUUUGAGAGUUUAUAUUAUUGUUCAUUCGUUUGUAGUUUAGCGUUGCUGUACGUAUUUUAAUCGUACAAUUAUUUGGUGAAGGUUGUUAUUUAACCUAGUAUAUGUAAGUUGGGAGUAUGCUUCCUAGAAAAGCUACUCCAAUACUAAUUUAAUAGGUAAUUAUAUUUAUACUUAGAUAGGUAAUUAUUUCCCAUUGUCAUUUUAUAGUUACAUAAUUUGUAUUUUUCUAACUCAGAGGUUGUCAAAAAUCUAAGUAGUUAUAUUUAAUAAAUAUUUAUUUGUUUUUGUA